rnacentral:misc_RNA from 1 species
GAAAUGCGAUAAGUAAUGUGAAUUGCAGAAUUCAGUGAAUCAUCGAAUCUUUGAACGCACAUUGCGCCCGCCAGUAUUCUGGCGGGCAUGCCUGUUCGAGCGUCAUUUCAACCAUCAAGCCCCCGGCUUGUGUUGGGGACCUGCGGCUGCCCGCAGGCCCUGAGAAACAGUGGCGGGCUCGCUGUCACACCGAGCGUAGUAGCAUACAUUCUCGCUCAGGGCGUGCUGCGGGUUCCGGCCGUUAAACGACCUUCAUAACCCAAGGUUGACCUCGGAUCAGGUAGGAAGACCCGCUGAACUUAAGC